rnacentral:rRNA from 1 species
UACGUAGGGGGCGAGCGUUGUCCGGAGUUACUGGGCGUAAAGGGCAUGCAGGCGGUCGGACGCGUUUCGGGUGACAGCGGGUGGCUUAACUACCCGAGUGGUCGAAAGACGGUUUGACUUGAGGACGCGAGAGGGACACGGAAUUCCGGGUGGAGUGGUGAAAUGCGCAGAUAUCAGGAGGAACACCGGUGGCGAAGGCGGGUCUCUGGGCAGUAACUGACGCUGAGGAGCGAAAGCGUGGGGAGCGAACAGG